CUACGUGCCAGCAGCCGCGGUAAUACGGAGGGUGCGAGCGUUAAUCGGAAUAACUGGGCGUAAAGGGCACGCAGGCGGUGACUUAAGUGAGGUGUGAAAGCCCCGGGCUUAACCUGGGAAUUGCAUUUCAUACUGGGUCGCUAGAGUACUUUAGGGAGGGGUAGAAUUCCACGUGUAGCGGUGAAAUGCGUAGAGAUGUGGAGGAAUACCGAAGGCGAAGGCAGCCCCUUGGGAAUGUACUGACGCUCAUGUGCGAAAGCGUGGGGAGUAAACAGGAUUAGAUACCCUGGUAGUCCACGCUGUAAACGAUGUCGAUUUGGGGGUUGAACUUUAGGUUUGGCGCCCGUAGCUAACGUGAUAAAUCGACCGCCUGGGGAGUACGGCCGCAAGGUUAAAACUCAAAUGAAUUGACGGGGGCCCGCACAAGCGGUGGAGCAUGUGGUUUAAUUCGAUGCAACGCGAAGAACCUUACCUACUCUUGACAUCCAGAGAACAUUC
rnacentral:rRNA from 1 species